UUUCCAUCGGAUGAGGGAGGGGGAGGAGGCUGCGCUGAACUGCUACGGCGGCAGCGUGAUGGCGGCUGGGACCGGGAGGACUUAAAGCAACGGCGACGCACGCCUGCUUACCUCAGGCAUUUUUUUUAACCCAUUCCUUCCUCUCCUCCCCCCGCCUCUUUUGGAAGGAGUCGCGCUGCCUCCCCCUUCUUUUGGGGGCAAACCAAGCGAAAGGGCCGGGAAGAGGCAAGGAGAGGGUGAGGAGAUCCAGGCCGGCCCGGGAGCGCCUCUUUCUCCGCCGCCUCAGCCCUUUUUUUUAAAGGGCCCGGCUGCAGCGCUCUCCGCCGCUUCUUCGCCACGCUGUUCUUCCAGACAGGCCCAGGCAGGCCUGGCGACGCUCAGGUAACUUAUGCAAGAAUCAUGAACUGCUGAACACAGUGAAAUAUCUGAAGCACAAAGAAGAGAGCCUUCUAAAAACAAUUUAUAUCCUGGUUACAGGCUGGGAUAACUUUUAUUUAUAUUUUUAUUUUGGUGAAUAUUUACAAUGAAUGGACACAGUGAUGAAGAAAGCACAAGGAACACUAGCGGAGAAUCAAGCCAAUCAGAUGAUGAUUCUGGGUCAGCAUCUGGAUCUGGAUCUGGUUCAAGUUCUGGAAGCAGUAGCAAUGGAAGUAGCAGCCAGUCGGGAAGCAGUGAUUCAGAUUCUGGUUCAGAGUCUGGCAGUCAAUCAGAAUCAGAGUCUGACACAUCCAAGGAAAAGAAAGUCCAAGCUAAACAUCCAAAGGUUGAUGGAGCUGAGGUAAAAUGAAUGAAUAAUUUAUAAUUGACUAUUUUAAAUUGAUACUGUAUUAACUGAGAAUAUGAAACCAGGAAAUUAAUGGUUACUUUGCUUUAAAAUAUACUGCAAUGCUGGAAAAAAUUAUUUAUAAAAGCAUUGCAGAACAUGUAUUUAUUUA